CCUCCUGUGCUAGCCUCUCAAGCAGCUAGGACUACAGUUUUACUUGCUUCCAACAGGAAGGCAAGUUUUCCUCCUUCCAUGACGAUGAAAGGCAGGUAACUCCUUUAUGGAAUUUGAGCUGGCUUCCAACAGGGAAGAUGAGGUUUUUUUUCCUGCCUCUAGAAUAGUAGAGAGCAGUCUACAGCCUGAGACCCAUCACUAGGACACAAUUGAAGAAACUGGUAGUUUUACCAAGGCUUUGACUGGAAUGGUGCACUUUCCUAUAAGGAAUCAAACUUGACUUAAGAAGCCAAUAAAGCCCUUGGAAAAACUGGCCUCAUAUUUUGUGUACACAGUCCGUGUACAGGGUUUCUGGCCUGUGGACAUGAGACUUCACAACCUGCUAAAAAUCUUCGUUCGGGACCUACCUGUCUAGGAAUAAACCAUCCUUGCCAUGAGAGAUCAAAUGAAACCUGAGACCAGAGAUUCAUUUUCUUGUAAAAUGCCUUCUCCAAAAGAUUUUUGAAAAGAAAGGGGGGAAAUAUGAAAGGAAAUUAAAGCUUGGGGCCCCCAAAUCACUAA
rnacentral:lncRNA from 1 species